CCUACGGGCGGCAGCAGUCGAGAAUCAUUCACAAUGGGGGAAACCCUGAUGGUGCGACGCCGCGUGGGGGAAUGAAGGUCUUCGGAUUGUAAACCCCUGUCAUGUGGGAGCAAAUUAAAAAGAUAGUACCACAAGAGGAAGAGACGGCUAACUCUGUGCCAGCAGCCGCGGUAAUACAGAGGUCUCAAGCGUUGUUCGGAAUCACUGGGCGUAAAGGGUUCGUAUGCUGUUUCGUAAGUCGUGUGUGAAAGGCGCGGGCUCAACCCGCGGACGGCACAUGAUACUGCGAGACUAGAGUAAUGGAGGGGGAACCGGAAUUCUCGGUGUAGCAGUGAAAUGCGUAGAUAUCGAGAGGAACACUCGUGGCGAAGGCGGGUUCCUGGACAUUAACUGACGCUGAGGCACGAAGGCCAGGGGAGCGAAAGGGAUUAGAUACCCGGGUAGUC
rnacentral:rRNA from 1 species